CACGUUCUUAAAGUGAUAGUGACACAUUCCAGAUAUAUCGGAACAUGUCACCAUCACUUUAAUAAGCUCUG
rnacentral:pre_miRNA from 17 species